UAGCUUCUAACGAGAAUAGUGAUGAAGUGGGGUUUAUUCGAUACCCUCGUCCUCCGUUCUUGGCUGGUUCUCUAUUUUAUUGACCCCGAAGAAAUGAAAAGAAGAACUGACCUCGGUGAGAUUUGAGCUCAAAACGUAAAAAAACUGGAAGAAAUACUGCGUAGCCUGAAUAAAUGCUGUUAAUGUUGGUACAAUGCCAGAAAUUUCGUUUCGGUAUUUAAAGCAAACCAUUACAUGUUUUAGUCAUUCCUCUUUGCUUCAGUCUGGCUUUCGUCAGGGUACCUGCUACCUGUGGUAGCAGAAUCUAUUGUCAGAAAUUAGCGACUUCUAUGGUGAAUUUCAGCGUUUGUAUCAAGACUGCUGUGGAAAAUGAUUGUAUCGAAGAUAAUGAGUCAGAUGAAAUUAUUAUCUGGUGAUAUUGGCAUCUAUGGAUGUUUUUACAUCAGCAAUACUUAAAAUCUGUGAAAGACUAAAGAAAGACGCUACACAGAAAGCAUAUAUAACAGUUUUGUGGUUUAUAGCAACGUUUCUCUGCUUCACUGGUUUGGAAUGUUUACAAGAUGAAUUUUGCCUUCUUGUUAAAUUUGGAUUGCAAAGGAGUUUGCAGAAUCUUCAGACAGCAGUGAAGAAGAGAAUUAAUGGAAAUAUAGAAGUAGAAAUAUAAGUUUUUGUUACCAAUCGGCUGCAUGAAAAAACGAAAAGAUAAACAUCUGCAUAUUUUGGUGAUAGAAGAAUAAAUACGGAAAAUGAAUUAUGUGAAAGCAAGGUUGAAUCUGAAACCCAAUCUAAAAGGAUUGAUUCUUCUGCUGCUACAGAAGAAGGAACAGAUGAUGUUGCCCUCUACUGAUGGUGUCAGUUACUGUGGGAAACCUGCUUAACAUCUUCUCAUCCAAGACAGCAUUUGCACCAAUUCCACGAACUAAUUAGGUGAAAUGUUUCACAAAUCACUUGGCUCAGUGGUACAGCAUGCUUAAUAGGAGUUCGAGAAGUAUGGGUUUGAUUCUCUGUUGCAGCUUGCUAUGCAGUUUUUGCACUCAAGAAGACCUGUCCUCCACAGCAGAAGUGUUAUGGCUGCAUCACCUUGUGAAGAAGAUUGGCCUGCAAGAGUCCUGUGCCAAUACCACAGAAAAUGCACUUGUAUUGGUGUCAUGUGAAAUCACUCGUGCUGGUGGCACGUUGAAAGCACUCGGCACACUGUAAAGCGGUGUUGGGAAGAACAUCCAGCUGUACAAUCCAAGCCAAAUCAAACUAGAACCUAAUGCAGCUUCCCAGCUUCUUUGUUCUCGUCAAACCGUCCAACCCAUACCAGCAUGGAAAACAGGUGUGAACCCUUUAGUGUUCAGAUUACUCUGUAAAAUGUUCUGUUUAUUUAUUCAUAUCAUUAUCCCAAAGCUUUGAGGUCUGAAUGAUGUGAUUGUUUAUUUUCAGAAUGUCAGUGUGGAGUAGGUUUGUGAGGAGCAAAACAUGGCCAGUUUGAAUGUAAAACAGGCAGAAUAUUUGAGCCACUCAUAUCUGGCCCAAAUACUUUAUCAUUUCCAUGU
rnacentral:lncRNA from 1 species